rnacentral:rRNA from 1 species
AAUGAACGCUGGCGGCAUGCCUAACACAUGCAAGUCGAACGAACCCUUCGGGGUGAGUGGCGCACGGGUGCGUAACACGCGGGAACCUGCCCUUAGGUUCGGAAUAACAGUUAGAAAUGACUGCUAAUACCGGAUAAUGUCUUCGGACCAAAGAUUUAUCGCCUUUGGAUGGGCCCGCGUAGGAUUAGCUAGUUGGUGAGGUAAAGGCUCACCAAGGCGACGAUCCUUAGCUGGUCUUAGAGGAUGAUCAGCCACACUGGGACUGAGACACGGCCCAGACUCCUACGGGAGGCAGCAGUGGGGAAUAUUGGACAAUGGGCGAAAGCCUGAUCCAGCAAUGCCGCGUGAGUGAUGAAGGCCUUAGGGUUGUAAAGCUCUUUUACCUGGGAUGAUAAUGACAGUACCAGGAGAAUAAGCCCCGGCUAACUCCGUGCCAGCAGCCGCGGUAACAC